rnacentral:tRNA from 1 species
GGAAAAAUGGCAGAGUGGUCGAUUGCAUCAGUUUUGAAAACUGACAUAAGCUUAGCAGCUUAUCAAGGGUUCGAAUCCCUUUUUUUCCU